AUUGAACGCUGGCGGCAGGCCUAACACAUGCAAGUCGAGCGAGCGGCGGACGGGUGAGUAAUGUAUGGGGACUGCCCGAUAGAGGGGGAUAACUACUGGAAACGGUGGCUAAUACCGCAUACUAUCGGAUAACCCAUAUGGGAUUAGCUAGUAGGUGGGGUAAAGGCUCACCUAGGCGACGAUCUCUAGCUGGUCUGAGAGGUUGAUCGGCAAAACGGGGACUAGGACACGGCCCGAACGCCAACGGAGGAACAAGUGGGGAAUAUUGGCCAAUGGGCGAAAGCCUGAUGCGGCCAUGCCGCGUGUAGGAAGAAGGCCUUAGGGUUGUAAAGUCCUUUCAGCGGGGAGGCGUUACCCAAAGAAAAAGCAACGGCUAACUCCGUGCCAGCAGCCGCGGUAAUAC
rnacentral:rRNA from 1 species